rnacentral:misc_RNA from 1 species
GGCUGUGAAGUGGUAUUCCUUUCUUUAUGACUCUUAGGUUUUGAGGAUGUUGUUGCUUGGACAGAAUAUUUGUGAAUUUAGUGAUUAUGAUUAUGACUUUUGUACAACUGUCUCCAUGUGCUUGAAUUCCCUUGAUUGGAAUAAUUGAAAAGUAAAAUGGAGGUAUAUAGAGUCCUAUUUUACCCUCACUUAUAAAUAAACAAAUUUGAU